UACGUAGGGUGCAAGCGUUAAUCGGAAUUACUGGGCGUAAAGCGUGCGCAGGCGGUUAUGUAAGACAGUUGUGAAAUCCCCGGGCUCAACCUGGGAAUUGCAUCUGUGACUGCAUAGCUAGAGUACGGUAGAGGGGGAUGGAAUUCCGCGUGUAGCAGUGAAAUGCGUAGAUAUGCGGGAGGAACACCGAUGGCGAAGGCAAUCCCCUGGACCUGUACUGACGCUCAUGCACGAAAGCGUGGGGAGCAAACAGG
rnacentral:rRNA from 1 species